GACGAACGCUGGCGGCGUGCUUAACACAUGCAAGUCGAACGGAAAGGCCCUGCUUUUGUGGGGUGCUCGAGUGGCGAACGGGUGAGUAACACGUGAGUAACCUGCCCUUGACUUUGGGAUAACUUCAGGAAACUGGGGCUAAUACCGGAUAGGAGCUCCUGCUGCAUGGGGGGGGAUGGAAAGUUUCGGCGGUUGGGGAUGGACUCGCGGCUUAUCAGCUUGUUGGUGGGGUAGUGGCUUACCAAGGCUUUGACGGGUAGCCGGCCUGAGAGGGUGACCGGCCACCUUGCGCCUGCGGUACGGCCCAGACUCCAACGGGAGGCAGCAGUCGGGAAUAUUGCACAGUGGGCCGAAGCCUGAUGCAGCAACGCCGCGUGCGUGAUGACCUCCUUCGGGUUGUAAACCGCUUUCUCCUGUGCCGAAGCGUGAGUGACGGUAAUGAGUAAAGAAGCACCGGCUAACUACGUG
rnacentral:rRNA from 1 species